GACAGGUUAAUUCAGUGGUAGAAUAUCCGGCUCUUCUUCCGGAUUGACGUAGGUUCGAGCCCUACAUCUGUCU
rfam:Chryseobacterium gambrini strain DSM 18014 genome assembly, contig: Ga0111674_117